AUACCUUUCUCGGCCUUUUGGCUAAGAUCAAGUGUAGUAUCUGUUCUUAUCAGUUUAAUAUCUGAUAUGUGGUCCAAAUGGGUCACACGAUAUUAAAUUACUUUUUUAAGGGGGAGAAGUCACGAGUAGCUUGCUACUUGAUUUCUUGAGUGUUGCUUAUGUGUUGCACUUGCAUGAGCUGGCGCACCUUAC
rfam:Medicago truncatula strain A17 chromosome 5, whole genome shotgun sequence.